GUGAGUACUCUCGCUACCAGUCACGUGGGAGGCAAAGUUCCGUUGGGACUCCAUGUAACGUGCUCGCACCCAGCUGCAAGGGCCUGGCUGAUGGGGUGAGGGUGUACAGGGGCAGGGAGUGGUCCCCGUACUUCGCCAUUUGUCAGGACCAUCGACUUGUCAACACCAGCACCUGCGAUAGAGUACUGGAUACUUUUCAGUUGUUCUCGCCAGACCUCGGGAGAUGUGUAAGUCUGUAUGAAAUUCCAGUGGAGCGUGGCGGCUGUUCCCUCACCUGCACGGGUCGGUCCGAUGCUUUGUACCUCGAUGACGUCUGCGGUAACCCAAGCAUAUUCUUUCGGUGUUCUUCGGAGACAGUAAAAGAAAUUUAUUUGUGUCCAUCUAAACAACAAUCCGUCACAAAAUUAUUGUCUUGUUCAACUCUUGUCUCCGUGAAAUAGUAUAAGUAGCUAAAAAUAGCAUCUUGAGUUUAUUGACGACGAUAUUUCACGUGAAGCUCGUGACUUGUUCACAACAGACACUUUACAUUUACAGACUAGUGUAGCAAGAUACACACUUCAGAAAUAGAGAAGCAAUAAACCUUAAAAUGAAACAAA